GAGAGGCUUACUGUUUCUGCUUAGCGCUCUGUUCCUGCUGAAGUCAACAAAGGGAACGGAAUAUGACAAGUUAAACAGUCGUGACAGAAAAAUUGUUGACGAGGCAAUAAAACAAGGCAAUAAGAAAGUAGCAAUAUCCAAACACCUUGACUAUUACACCACUUGCACAAAAAUGGAGAAUGUACUCGAGGUAAUACUGACACCCACCUCAUGUAACAAAACAACACCGAGUGUUCAUCGGAAAGAAUGUGAAAUCCACUAUAAGCGACCUCAGGUUUCCUGUGUUCAUUGUAAUGGAGCCAUGAAACCAUGUUUAUUUCUUAGACAAACAGAAGAGAGAAGACAAAUGAUAAAUACAUGUCGGAUCCGUCUGAACGGUGGGCAUGUGCUGUUCUACUAAAUGGGAGAAAAUGAACAGCAACAAACGGGAUGUCUUGGAUGCACCUGAGAUGUAAAAAUGAUCAAGAACAUUCGCUACUUGCCAUUUGAAAAAAAAAAAAAAAAACACCUUAAAG